UCUAGUCUAAAAAGAGCUACUCGGAAAGUGACAGUGUUACAAAUGGCUACUAGAGCUGCUCGGAAAGGGACAGUUUAAAAUAGCAAGGAUGGUUCUUUGUUUUUUAUGAAGGGGUUAUCGGAAGAGUAGAAAGGGUGGUUUGUCAGCAUGGGAGCAGGCAGGAGCUCAAGAGUGGUUAGAAGUUGUCACCGAAGAUUUGGAAGGAUCUUCACCAAAUAGGUUUUUUUGGUGUAGACUUUACUUUCGAUUUGUUAGACAUAUAUUUGAUUUGUUUUUUUUAGUGUUAUUGUUGUAUAACAUAAUGGUUGCCAAUCUCUUGAGAUUCUAAAAAUUUACACCAAAUAAGUUUA